UCUUGACGAAGCCUGAGAAAACCAAUAUAAUAGAAAAGCAUGAAAUUGCCUUUUGAAAGCUCCGUCUGGUAUGGUUGGGGUCCUGCGCAAUAAGACUCUGUGAACCUUGUCAGGUCCGGAAGGAAGCAGCAAUAAGCGGAAGUUCUUAUGUGCCGCAGAAAAGCCUUUGCUAGCGCCUUGCGGAGCUUUCAAAGGGCAAUUUAUUUUUAUAGUCAGGG
rnacentral:SRP_RNA from 1 species